AGUGAACGCUGGCGGUAGGCCUAACACAUGCAAGUCGAACGGCAGCACAGUAAGAGCUUGCUCUUACGGGUGGCGAGUGGCGGACGGGUGAGGAAUACAUCGGAAUCUACUUUUUCGUGGGGGAUCACGUAGGGAAACUUACGCUAAUACAGCAUACGACCUACGGGUGAAAGCAGGGGAUCUUCGGACCUUGCGCGAUUGAAUGAGCCGAUGUCGGAUUAGCUAGUUGGCGGGGUAAAGGCCACCACGGCGACGAUCCGUAGCUGGUCUGAGAGGAUGAUCGGCCACAUGGGAGCGGGGACGCGGUCCAGACUCCUGCGGGAGGCAGCAGUGGGGAAUAUUAGACAAUGGUGGCAAGCCUUAUCCAGCCAUACCGCGUGGGUGAAGAAGGCCUUCGGGUUGUAAAGCCCUUUUGUUGGGAAAGAAAAGCAGCAGGUUAAUACCCCGCUGUUCUGACGGUACCCAAAGAAUAAGCACCGGCUAACUUCGUG
rnacentral:rRNA from 1 species